rnacentral:rRNA from 1 species
GGUCGGAUUAGCUAGUUGGUGGGGUAAAGGCCUACCAAGGCGACGAUCCGUAACUGGUCUGAGAGGAUGAUCAGUCACACUGGAACUGAGACACGGUCCAGACUCCUACGGGAGGCAGCAGUGGGGAAUAUUGGACAAUGGGCGAAAGCCUGAUCCAGCCAUGCCGCGUGUGUGAAGAAGGUCUUCGGAUUGUAAAGCACUUUAAGUU